UGGGGACAAUGCGGAAAAGACAACAGGUAUGCCAAGUUCACUGUCACUGCCCUACAUAUCCAACCGACCUACAUACUAUACAUACGGCGGUUAGAGAGGGGAAGAGAGACGGGCAUCUCGCUGUGCAAGUUCACGCAAGCGUGCCUGUCAUUAAUAAGUCGGGGGAAGGAAGAACUGAUUGUCACGUGUCCCCCAUUCGCACGUGUUUACUUGUGUGACGUCACGGCUCCUUGACCACGAAGACCGAUGACGCGACCAAGAUGGCGGCUAGUGGGUACAUGGAGGAUAAGAACAGUGGAGAGAAUAUGGACGAUAUGUUGGACUCUUCUAACUACGAUUAUUUAGAGAUUGUUCAUAAGAAUGGUCUUUUUAAUCAUACGUAUCCCUAUUCAAACAGUACAACGUUUAGUUGCAGUCAAAAUGGUACAACUAUAGUGAAAUGUUUGGAACGACUGAGCGGUUUAAACAAAGUUGAAACGUCUUCGAUAAAUGGUUUAGAUAUAUUGAAGAAUGGUAUGAAGACAUUUUCACGUCACGAUGGCAGAAAUAAUCAUGUUUUUCGACACGAAAGACGUACGACUCGUUUGGAUAGAGUCGGGAGUACUGACAGUGUUGCCGUGAGCAGUGGUGGCAGCGACCACGGUGGUAGCGAUUCAUGUCAGUCGACAAGCAGCAACGUGUCCGAACCCUGUUCUCCCGAGACAGAAAGCCCAGAUUCUCCGUGUCCAGGCACCCCCCAGCCGAUGCCACCCAUCCCACCGUCUCUGGCAGAUAACUGCCGAGCAGACAGUGACGAUAGCAUCACUCUCUCGGGGACACUGGUGGCUCUGACGAAGAACGAGUACCCAACAAGUGGACAAUAUAGUUUGUCUCAGGGACAUGACAAUGCGACAGACACAGUAUGUGAUAAUAAGAAGAAUUUUUUCUAUGACUGCAUUUACAACGACAAGAGUUUAUGUGAUGACAAUGCACGCUUAGGAUCAAAAUCGGAGAGUGAAGUGAACGAGGAAUAUUACACUGCCAUUGGUGACAGUUCGGAAUGUGAGGUGAAGCCGAAUUGUCACGUGGGGGAUGGACUGGAGAAAGAAAACACCUCAUCAUCCUCAUCAUCAUCAUCAUCAUCCUCAUCGAAUCAGUCGUCAACUGCCAGUCCCGAGAUACAGACAAAUACCGACGAUAGUCACACUGUUACUUGUAAAUGGUUCAACUGUGAGCAGAAAAUGGUGUGCAGCGGUCAGCUGGUGGAACAUAUCCGUAAAUAUCACGUGGAAAGACAGAGUGAUAGUGAAACGUUCACCUGUUUAUGGGUCGGUUGCAAGGUUUAUAAUCGCCCAUCAUGUUCAUUAAGUUGGUUAGAACGACAUAUAUUGUGUCAUGGAGGAAAUAAACCUUUCAAAUGUAUUGUGGAAAGGUGUGAUCAACGUUUCACAUCUCAAAGUGCUUUAGAAAGGCAUGUAAAUUCACAUUUUAAUAGUGCAUCUGCUCCAAAUGGAAACAAAGUGGGGCGAAGUAAAGAUGACACACCUACUAAGUUAAUAAAGAAGAAAAAGCUUAGGUAUCGUCGCAAGUGUAUGGCAGUUAAAACAGAAGAUUUUUUUGAUGCCAGAAUUAUGGAGCAUGUUCGACAUGGUUUAUUAGAAUUGAACUCCGUAACUGGACUUGAUACUGAAGGAAUACCUGGGACCAUAACUUUCUAUAGCACUGUUAUAGCAAGAAGAAUGGAAGGAGGUGGGAAAGUGAAAGUCCUUUUACAUUGGUCACCAGAGAAUAUAAGCUGCCAAUAGGAUGAUGAUGCAGAUCUUAAUUAAGAAUUAUGACUUGAAUGAAGGAGAGUUGAAGAUUUUAUCACCAUUUCGUAGAAGCAGUAUUUUAUGCCAAGAGUAGUCAUAGAGGACACAAUUUUCUGUACAUUACACAAUAAGGGAAUCUGAGUCAUAUGCUGGAUUUUCAAAAGAAUAAUGUUUUCUCUGUGCAUUUUGUAUAAAAUAAAGAGAUUAAAGAUUGUUUAUGAACUGUUGUUUGUUUUAAUAGUGACCCAAGUGAGAUUAACUAAAAGUUAAUCUCAUUAGGGUCUUUAAUCAAAUUACUUUUGUCUUAUUUACAAUAAGUAUAAUUUAGGAAAUUGAUUGCCGUAUCAUACUGUUUUGCCAGAUUUAUUAAAAAAUUCUAGAAGCAAUUAAUUUCUUUAUCAGUAAAAAUCAAAAAUGGUUAAGAUAAUGAAUAUAGUACAGCCUCAGAAAUUGCAUCACUUGUUAAAUCUUAUAAAAAUGUGUUUUGUUUUAAAAUUGAAGUAUCAUUUUGCUGUAGACCUGCAAGAAAUUAUGAAGAAUGAAUCAUCCAUGAUAUCAUAAACAUGACAGUGCUUUUCAUUGGCUGAUAAAGUUUAUUGCAACAGAGCAUCCAGAGAUUUGCCUCUUCUAUUAGUAUAAAAACCCAUCUGAAGAUGAUUUUUUAAGCAAAAUGAAGUUUUUGAAUAUUAAAACUUGCUUAGAUAAUUUGUAACAGAAUACUUUGAAUGCUAAAGAUCUAUCUAUCUUAUAAAAUAGCACAAAGACUACAUUGUCAUCAAACAAUGCAUUUGUUACAAAGGAGACAUGGUCAUAGCAGUGUUUAAAAAAAAGAUUGGAUUGGGAGGUAAUUGUGAGUACACAGCACCAAGAUAGGAUGUUGAAGUAUCACAGUUUGAAAAAUGCAUUGAUAGUUCUUCUGAAUUGUGAAAGUAAAGUGGGAAGAGCAGACAUGUGUAAAGCUGUGUUCAGACACACACAAUAUAAGUGAUGUAACGUGGCAUCAUUACAUGACAGGAAGCCAUUUCAUGGGCAACAAUGUUAUGUUGGAAUUGAUUCCAUGACAAUUGUGACAGAAGGAAUCUUAUAUUCAGCCAAUCUUUCAAAAUUGCCUUAUCAUUUCAUGCUCACACAUGAAUGAAAGAAGGGGGAAAAUGGCAGUAAGCAGCAUGCUGAAAGAAGAAAAUCUAAUUAUUGAAGUAGAAAAAUAUCCUGUUUCUAGAGAAA
rnacentral:misc_RNA from 1 species